UACGAAGGGGGCUAGCGUUGUUCGGAAUUACUGGGCGUAAAGCGUGCGCAGGCGGUUUUGUAAGCCAGAUGUGAAAUCCCCGGGCUCAACCUGGGAAUGGCAUUUGGGACUGCAAGGCUCGAGUGCGGCAGAGGAGACUGGAAUUCCUGGUGUAGCAGUGAAAUGCGUAGAUAUCAGGAGGAAUACCGAUGGCGAAGGCAGGUCUCUGGGCUGACACUGACGCUCAUGCACGAAAGCGUGGGGAGCAAACAGG
rnacentral:rRNA from 1 species